rnacentral:rRNA from 1 species
UACGGAAGGGGCAAGCGUUGUUCGGAAUCAUUGGGCAUAAAGGGCGCGUAGGCGGUCUCGUGUGUCUGCUGUGAAAGUACACAGCUUAACUGUGUGAAGUCGGUAGAAACUGCGAGACUUGAGGCUGGGAGAGGUUGGUGGAAUUCCCUGUGUAGCGGUGAAAUGCGUAGAUAUAGGGGAGAACACUCGUGGCGAAGGCGGCCAGCUGGACCAGCCCUGACGCUGAGGCGCGACAGCGUGGGGAGCAAACAGG